AGGUAGCUGAUGAACGGAUGAAAAACAGUUCUUUGGACACAGAACAUCAUGAUGAUAUGGUGGAUGUCAUUGGCAUUAGAAACCUGAAGGAAAAGCAUGUCAGUGAUGAAAAACGUCUUUCGUUAUCUGAUGUCAUCGACUAUGAAAAAGUGAUAUGUGAAAAUGCACAUUUGCGUGCCAGUGAAGAGAAAUUGACAAAAGAGACUGCUCUACUUGAACAGAAACGCCGAGAAAAUGAAAAUUGAACUGCGAAAAUCUAAAACUGAACAACGAAAAUCAAAAACUGAACACUGGUUUAAAGGAAUUCGAAGACGUGAUACAAGAUUUUAAAAUGAAAUGCGCAGUUCUUGAAGACGAGACCAAAGAACUUAAAAUGCAGUUAAAAAAAUAUGCCACUGCUGUUGACGACUCGGUGGCGAAAUGUCUUCAACUGCAACGAGAUAGGGAGGAAGAGCUUGAAGAUAAAUACCGUCUGCAAAUCGACGAAGGAAAUGCAAGAAUCGCCGAGCUGAAUAAUGAAGUUG